rnacentral:lncRNA from 1 species
GCCUCAUCAAUGUGAAAUAAUAUCUAAAAUUCUUGUUUACAAAUUAUCUACAACAAACCAUUUACAUUUUCAAUACUUCCAUAAAACUUAAUCCAGCAGUUUUCCAACAGAACAGAUGAUCCUAGGUCUACCAUUGUUGCACAGCCAGUCUGCUCUACACAUGCCAAAAUUAAUGUUUGAGUUAUCUCCCAUUAAAGCAAUAUUUUUGGGAAUGUUACUUAUGUAUUGAUUUGAAUGGACAAAGCUUAAAAAUAACAGUAGUGAAAAUAAUAUCUCUUCAAUAAAAACUGUA